CCUUCGAUAGCUCAGCUGGUAGAGCGGAGGACUGUAGAUCCUUAGGUCGCUGGUUCGAGUCCGGCUCGAAGGA
rnacentral:tRNA from 2 species